AGUUCUUGGAGUUGAAUUCAGAGUCCUCAGCAAUGACGUCCAGCAUCACUGCAUCUUUGAGCAGCACCUCUUCAGUCAGCCAGGCCCUUUCCCAUGGCCACCAAAAGCAACACUGAGGUGUCUCCUGAAUGUCCCUGACUGCUGUCCUCCGGGCAUGCCCUCCGGGGGCACCUACCCUGAUGACCUGUCUCCCAUUCUGAUCCAACUGACAUGCUGGGAUAGGGCUCCUGCUAUUGUAUGCAUGGUUUGGGACUGACACCUACUUUAGGAAGAAGAGGAUUUGAAAGACUUUGAGCUCCUGCAAAUCAUCUCACAACAUCAGAUUAAGUGGGACAAUCAGAUGGUGGGGAGAGAUAAUCAAUGAGCAAGCUCAGAACAACUUGCAGCCCAAAGAAGAGUCCUUGGCCUAGUAAAACAGAUAAAAACUGUGUGGUGGGCCUUGUGCACAAAGGAAACUGCACUGAGGUGGCCCUAAAAGCUGCAGCUUCUCUGUGCUGCCCUGGGGCUGCUGGACCUCCCUAACAUGUGAUCAGGCUGCACCUGAUCAGCCAUUGCACAGCUAACAUCCAUGAGGGGCAACAAAGACAGGCUCCUUCCAGCAGGAAUAUGCACCAUGGGUCACUCUUAGGGAUGAUUUUAGACUAAGAUGGGAAAAAUGGACUACAAGUGGAAUCCAUACUAAAGUGGAGGAGGAUGGGGAAGAGGAGAACAAGAAGAAGGAAUACAAAAUGCACAAGAGGUUUAAUAAUAACCAGAAUAAGAAUAACCAAUCAGAAGGAUAAUGAUGAGGAGGAAGAGGAAGACCUAAAAAAUUCUGUUCUGAGGACACAUUCCUGCUGAGGUCAUCCUCCAUUCUUGCCCAACAUACUUUCAAUUUAUACCAAGUCCCAGGACUGUAUUCAUCUAUGAAUGGAUUAAUCCACUGAUUGGGUCAAGGCACUCACAUCAAAUGAUUCCCUGGAAACACUUGAGUGAACAUUGCUGCAUUCAGAGAAAAACUUCGGCACGUGAGCCAUUGGGGGCAAAUUCUGAUGCAAACCCUAACAGUGACUCUUUGGCAGGUCCAACCUGAAUUGAGCCAUUCUGGGGUCCAAGGUGCUUUUUCUUUGAAAGGUGAUAGAUUGGUUUAGUUCCUGUGCAUAGUCUUUCCUCAGGGAAGAAUCAUGGAGAAAAUCUUUGAUGGUACUGUAACUGGAUUGGAGGGCUCUAAGGUCUGUUGCUCAGGCCUGACCUGGCAAAGGCUCUCAGUUGUUGGGUGUGUCCUGUGGUGUAUGCCAUGAGAGUCACUGACCACCACUCUGUCCCUCCCUCUCCAGAGCUGAAGAUCCCUGACAAUGUAUUCAUCUUUUAUGCUAUGAAUUCUCAAUUCAAUCCUUUCUCCAGCCUGAGAAAACAACCCACCAGCAAGUGGACCAAGGUCAAGGGAAGGAAUGUAAACACCCACCUUAUUCGCUCCUUUCUUCUGGUGACACUCCACAUCUUCACGAGGAAACAAGAAGCCUCAGUUGCUGGACAUAUGUUCUAGAAUGCCCAUAGAGCAAACUGCCAGGCUGGGGUGUCUUACAGUUUCUGGCCUUGCUGACGUUGCCAUCCCCACAGUUCUUGGAAUCCACUUCAGAGUCCUCUGCAAUGAUGUCCAGCAACACCCCAGCCUUGAGCAGCACCCCUUCUCCAAAACCAGGACCCAGGUUCAUAGCCAUUAAAUGCUUCAUGAAGCCCAGUGUCCUAGGAGAUCCUCACGGCUCUUCUAAAACAUGCAGGUGGGAGAGAGCUGCUUGGUUCAUUUCAGCUUAGAGGAGCAGAGUUGACAGAAGUACAAGAGGGGCCUGGUAAGCCUGGCAGCAGGGGUGUCUCCUGGUGCUUACCCCAGGGCAGGGAGCAAGCACGCAUCAGAUGUCAUGGACUAUUCCUGCCCUUUAGAAUUGGAGCUUCUGGGUGGUCAGGAAGGAUAGAUGGAAAGAAAGAAGAGAGGUCAGUGUUGACCUGAGAGAAGGGAGAGCACCAGCAUGUCUGCCCCCAUGUCUGAGGGAGUCUGUGUUGGGAGGCAAGAAGUGCAGGCCAGAAUGCAGGGGCAGGUAUUGGUGGGAGAUGAGGACAGAGUAGUGUCUAGGGUGCUGGUUCCACUGUAUGGGAUGGAGAAUGCUGGUGCCCAUGGAGGAGGACAGCGGUGUCAGUGUCUGUAUGUCCCUUCAGUAACGAACAGAGAGGGUCCCUUGGCAGAAUUCAUAUGAAUGUGGAGUGCACACCCUAAUCAUCCUGGUGUCCAGUUGCAGAGAAGUCAUUUUCAAUCACUUCCCCUACUGGGUCAGGUGCCCCAUUACACCCCAUCCAGCACUGAGCCUCUGGAUCCAAGAGGUCUCAUGGCUGCCGUUAAGCCCUCCCAUGCAUGGUCUUGUUUGUGAGUCUGUUUUGUGCCCUUGCUGUUAUGACCCAAGCCUGUAGGGUUUCUGCCUGGGCCACCCACAAAUGUAGCCUGCAUCCCUGAGCAGACCUGGCAUAUGGGGAGGCCACUGGCCCAUUUCUUUGACCUUGGUGGGCAUGGAGUGUGUGCACAGGCUAUUUGAUCCUUUUACCACGAGUGUAAUGUGAAUAUACACAGGGCAGUGGCAGACAUAGGUGGACUCUUGUUUGAAGGUUGGGCUACUAGGGCAUCAGAAGACCCCCUCAUGAUUAUAUGGAGGCCACCCUUAGGAACCUGAAUAACAAAAUUGUGUCCAGGUGUUCAGACCUGAAUUUCUCAUGAAAGUCCCUGACCACUGUGCUCUGGUAGCCAGUCCAAGGCCCAUUCCAUGAUGACUUAUUUCCCACAACGAUACAGGUGACCUGCCAUGGUAGGGCUCUGGCUGUCAUACUCAGUGCCCUGGACCAACACUUGCUAUAGGAAGAGAAUCCAGUAGACCACGAGCUUGGGCAAAUCACCUCAAGACAUCAGCGUACGUGGGACAAUCAGAUGGCAGGGAGCAGUGGUCAGAAAGUGGACUCAAGACAACUUGCAGCCCAGAGUAAUAGUGUCUGACCCCAAAGAACACUCAAACUGGGUGUGGUGGACCUCGUGCACAAAGCCAGCUGUACUGAGCUUGCUGUAAAAGUCUCUGGGUUCUAUACAUUGCCCCACUGACUGGUGCAACACCACACCUUGUGUCCCCCCCUGGACCUGAACAGGUAUUUAGUGCUAACAUCCAUGAGGAGCAAGGAGGAAAUUUUCCUUAAGGGGCAGUAUGGCCCCAUGACUCACUGGUAUGAGUGCUUUCAGAGGCAGAUUGGAAUGAAUGGGAAAUGGAUGGAAGUAGUACUUAUGUGGACCGAAGCAGCACUAUUGAAAACCAUGUGUCUGACAUGAAAAGCCCUGCCCAUGUGGAGGAUGGGCAGUAUUCUAGCAGUCCAGGACAGGACUCGAUCAGAAACAAGCACAGGUCGGUACUUAGCCAAAUUCCUAAGUCCCCAGUGCCUGUGUCCCCUUCCCCACAAGAUAUCAGAAUAGCCAGAUUAUUAUGUCUAACUAAAGUCAGAUGAUGGCUUCCUAAGCACAUAUGCCACAAAGUUGAUCUUGAAAUAAUGCCAUUACUAUUUUGUUUGGUGAGCCAAACACCCACAGGAACCAUGAUCCCAGUCUGUUCACACUGAAACCCCCCAUCCUGAACAGUCGUAUGGUACAUUCUCUCUUAUCUUAAUCCACGAAGUCUGAGGUUUGCAGAGGCUUACAGAAGAGGAAGGCUGAAUCCUAGGUAGGCUAAACAAGUCAUGUCAGAAGUACACACAUUCAACCCAGCAUUGACUGAGAGCAGGCGCUAGGCCAGAGAAGGGCUGCAGAAACAGGUGGUCAAAGGAACAUCUAGCUGGGUGUCUGGACCCCACAGGGUGUUAUGGCAUCCAUGGGCUAUAGCAAAUGGUUAGAGUGAAGCAGUCCCCUUCCUGGUCUUUGGAACCAUUUUUCUCCAUAGAGUGACAUUUGGGAUGUGGCCUCCAUUCUAGGAAGCAUGGUCCAAAUGGAGGCGGUCACUACCAAUAUCAGAAGCAUGGUUUUAUUUUGGUGUCUGCGUUGAUCAGCCUUUUGUCACUAUGGGAAUACCUGAGGAAAAUGAUGUGGUGAAGGAAUCAAAUGUUUUGGCUCCAGGUUUCAUAACUUUCCAUUUGGUUCUGAACUGAGACUGUCCAUAAUGGCAGAAGUGUGUGGUAGAGGAAAGCAACUCAGCUCUUGCCAACCUGGGCAUAGACUGGAGUAGAGAAUGAGGGUGAUAGAGGGAGGGAGAGAAAGGCAGAUAGGAGAAGGAGAAGGAAUACUAUGAGGAGAAGGAGGAUGAAGAGGAGCCAACAGGGAAAAGAUAGAGUUGCUAAGGGCACACCAACCUUAUGCCCAACCUACCUCCAGUUCCUACACCUCUCAGUAGGUGCAUUCCUCUUCCAUGUGCAUUUCAUGAUGAGGUCAGAGCACUCACCAUCAAAUACUUCCCCCCAAACCCACCCAUGCACAUGGUUGCAUCGUAGACCAAACCUUCAACACAGGAGACUUUUGCAGGAGAUUCCAGAUGCAAACCGAAGCAGGGUGUUCCUUUGGCAGAUCCAAGCCGACCUGGGUUGUUCUGGAGGCCAACGUCCUUUGGAAUCAACAGACAUUAAGUCUGUUUAGGUUCUCUGCAGAGUUUUUCCUCAGGGAGGACUAUUGAGGACUAUUGUGGCACUGGAGAUGAACUGGAGAGCUCUCAGGUCUGUGGCUCAGGCCUGUCCUGGAGGAGAUGCUCAGGUGUUAGGGGUGUUUUGUGAUAUACCCCUUGAGUGCCACUUACCACCCAUCUAUCCCCUUCUCCCCAGAACUGAGGAUUCUCUACUAUGCCAAAGUCUUUAAUACCGUGAAUCCUCCAGUCAAGUAUGGCUUUGUGCUGAGGAGGAGGACCUUCCCUAAUGAGGGGAUGUUAAUAAUACAGCCAACACAUGCCUCAACAAUUUGAUCGUUCAGCUGAGAAGAUUUCAGUGUCUGUGUUUUCAUACCAAACUCCUAUCAAACAACCCUUGAAAUAUUAGGUUCUUGCCUUGCUGGGGCCAGCGGGGGGAAGAAGAUUCAAAAGUCCUAAUCAAUCAAACAAAUGCUUCCUGAAAGUAGAAGAAAGGAAAUGAACACAACAGAAAUCCAUGAAAUACAAACACAACAGGAGAGAUCAAAAAAGCAAAAGUUGUGUAUUUGAGAGGACAAAAAUCAUUGUUUAAUGAAAUGGAAUGGAACCACACAAAGAAAAACAGAUCAGAGGAUAGAAGAGCAACUCUUGACACUGCAGAAAUUUAGUGUCAUGGUUAACUUCCUGGAAAGACAGAAGUGGGCCACACAGACAGAAACACAAGAUCAGAGUGCUCCCCUUAGCUGUAAAAGAAAUGCAAGCAAUGUCUAUUUUUUCCCCGAAGGAAAACACUGCCCUCAAUUGCCUUUAUCUGAAAGUAACCGAACAUUUUCAAAAGACAUAUUUUCAUUCUUAAGAUUCUCCCGCAAAGAACAGUAGAGAAAACAGCCCUACCCCCACCCAUUUUGAGGACAGCAGAAAGUUGUCACCCAAGAAGAGAAGCAGAAAACAAAGGUACAGGCCCAUCUGAUUCAUAGCAUGAUGCCAAAAUUCCAAACACUCUUGCCACGGGAAUGCAGCACAGAAUAAAAGAGGUUGAUACACCAUGAUUAGGGUGGUUUCAUCACGAGACUUAUUUGAUUGAUUCAUUGAAUUGAUUAACAUUAGAAUUUUUGUGCCAAGUGAACAGCAGAAGGAAGCCAGAGGCAGAAGCUCCGCGGAAACGUCGCCACGGAGACGGGAGGGGCGGGGCCUAGCCGAGGCGGAACUUUGACCCGCAGCGGCGCCUGGGUCCGAGGCGGACGUGCCGGAGGUCGCGCCCUGGCGGUGGGUGUCCGGGCGGCUCGCAGGUCCCGGCGGCCGGCGUGGAAGGGUCCUGUCCAGGGCGGCGUGGCCGCAGCAGCCUCGCCUGGGACCCGGACUCCAGGUGAAGAGGAUGCCCGGCCAGCAGACGCCCUGCAGAGUGGAGGGCGACGGAGGAGGACCCUCCGCCAGGGCGAGGGAGGCCGCGUGGAGAGGAGCCGCCUCCAGCUGGAUACACUGCCCAAAGAAGACCUCUUAUGUGUGCCAAGAAGCCAGUGAUUCUACUGCAGAAAGCGCCAUGGAAAUGUACAGGGAGUACUGCGGAUUGAGCCACAUCCCCAACCCUAUUGUGUAUUUUAUUUAGAGACAGGGUCUCACUGAGUUGCUCAGCACCUCGAAUUUGCUGAGGCUGACUUUAAACUUGCGAUCCUCCAGCCUCAGCCUUCUGAGCUGCUGCGAUCACAUGCCUGGCUGACACAUGCCUGGUUGUGGAUAAGCACUUGACGAAAGAAAAUAAGAAAACACUUUCCCAUGAUAGAGGAAUGAAGUGGAUCAUGAUAUCGAUAGGACAUGAGGGAUAGUUUGCCAUGAAUUCUGGUUCCCAACAUCCAGUGUGGUGUAAUGGAUACCUUUAUGUAGAACUUUGUCAUCUAAUUUCUUUCCAAUAAGUUCUGCCAUAUUUCUGCUAGAUUCUGAAUUUCAUGCUCUGUGCUCUAUGAUCAGAGUCAAGAGAAAAGUGAAGAUUUGAUAUAAAUUACAGCUGUGCUCAAGAUCCUUGGUGUGCCUUCUGCAAUUCUGGCUGUGCUCUUCAAGUUCUUCAAGUUGACUUCCUGGUUAUCAGCAUCAUGGUCUUCUGCCCUUGGAGCAUGGCAAAGCAUUGUUCCAUGAAUGUGACAGAUGGUCAUGUGGAAGGUUCCAGGGAGGACAGAUCAUUGAUAACAGAUGCCAAUCUAUGUGCCUCACCAAUGAACUAUUUUUUUCUGUUUUGGUUUUAAGGAGGACAGUGCCUUCCAACACUUCCAUGCACCUGGAACCCAGGCAUCUGUUUCACUUCAAAAGAAGCAUUCAUGAUUAAUUUGAAGAGGGCAUGAGAAGAAAGAGCUGAGUUGCUGUGCAACCCAGCCUUGCAAAUAGGUUAGAAGAGAGAAGAGUUGCUUCAUGAGAUAUUAUGACAUUUUUCCUGAAAGUCCCACACACAAUGGGCAGGUGCUUGGAUCCUCUCCAAGCAAGUUUUCCAGCCUGAAACCAGAUGUGUACAGACUUUGACUUGAAGGAUUUCAGCUCCUAUAAACCCUCUUCUUGGCUGCAAUUUUUCCUGCCCUUGAUGCAAAGCAAGAAAAAUGCAGUUGGCUCUGUGUCCAUCCUUCUCGCUCCAUGGUCCCAGCAGCUGCGAAUCAAAAGUCUCAGGAAAGAAGUUGUAUCUCAGUGGACAGAUACUUGUCAUUGUUUACUAGAUCAUCCAGGAUUAUGGAGAAUUACGUUGCCAUUUCAUUAUAUUACGUAUCAGAAGCCAUAAAUACAGGAAGAAGAUGGACAUUGUUUAUGUACAAAUACUCUGGCAAUUUUAAAAGAGACUUGAAUGUGUGAGGACUGUGGUUCUUAUUGGUCUUAGAACAAUUCUCCCAUUUAUUUCCUGAGAUGUUUCUGAUUUUCGGACUUGAGAACCUUCAGGACUUCACUGUGAGUCAGCCCCGUGGGAAUGUGGUAGGUGGGCUGUCGGAGGUGGUGUGCAGAAGCUCAGGAAGGACUUGUAAGACCACAUCCAAGACCACAACCAGGAGCAGAGAAGGGAGCCCUCUCCCCACGUUUCAAGCUUAAGUCUUGUUUUAUAACAAGAUCAUGACUUGUGAAAUCUUGCAGACAUUCUGAGUCAUUCCAAGAAGUUUGGUUCUGGGGAGCAUGGGAUGUCAUUCUGGUUUGUCUUCCACAUGAUGUGUUACCAGGUGAGAACUUGGAGUCUCCUUCCUUGGGAAGGGGCUACUCAAAGAAGCCCUUGUUCCUGUUUUACCUUCUGCCACAGGAGGACACAAGAAGGUUAUCGGAUUAGGCACCUGACUUGCAGCCUCCAGAGUUUGAGAAAUAAAACCUGUGCUAUAAGUAACCCAGUCUCUUGCGUUCUGGCAUCACAACACAAACAAUCCUUGGAGAGUCAAUCAGCAAUCCCCUUGCUUUUAAAUUGUGGUCAAGUACACCAAACACCCCUUUGUAAUUCAGAGGCAUUAAGCGUAGUCCUGUUGCUGUCUAGACAUCACCACCAUCCGUCUCCAGAACUCAUGUGGACAUGCUCUUGCCACCAGACUACUUCUAGUGCCUUCCCUAGUCCUAAGAAAAGAACAUUUUUCUUUAUGUUUUUCUGAAGUGGAUUAUUGGGAAUCCUUCUUUAUGUUUUUAAGAACUGGUUUACUGGGAAUCUGAGAUUAGUGAAAUCCUACAAAAUUUG